GAUUGUUUUUAUAUUUAUUGAUUUUAGUGUAGUGAGUUUUUGUUCUUUUUAUGUAGUUAAUUUUGCGGAAUUUAUUGAAGAUGCUAUCAAAAUACACUAAUGGAACAUUUACACGGUAUCAGGUUAUAUCAAAAUCUAAUUUUAGAGUUUGUUCAAAAUUUAGAAUCGAGCUAUUGUUUUUUUUUUGGUAUUUUAUCGUCAAUAUCAAUUUUUCUAUCACAAUCAUCUAGCCACUGCAUGCGUAAGUAAAUUAGUGAGAUUUUCUCGUCUCAAUUUUUUAAUGUUGCAUGAUUUUUUACUCUGUGUUUUUGUCAGGCUUAGCUUGUCUCGCCUGCUAACUAAAAUUCAAAUGAUUCCUACAAAGCAAUUCGAAAGUUAACUUUAAAUUCAGAUACAGAUGAUAAAUUUUUUAUGACGAAUUAUUUUAAUCUGUAGUCUAACAAUGAUACCGGCGUUACACAGCAACUAACCGACUAAUUCAAAAUGGCGUCGAGUUUAUUUGAACUGUGUGUAAAACGUUUUAAUGGGGUUACAGCGUCGAGGUAUCUGCUCGCUGGCUUUUGACAAUGGCCGCAAUCGCACCAGACCACAAUAAGACACGACAGGCAUCGACUAUCUCCGUAUCUCCAACAAAUAUACCGUCCUUAAGUUCUUAAGCUGCGAUGUUGCGAGGGGCGCCAACAACACUCAAAGCCAUGCAUAUGCAUACUUUAAUAUUAUAUUUUUUAUUUUAAGUACUACUUAGAUUAGUUACUCGAAUCUUUGUACCUUAGAUGUUAAUUAUAUUCGAACUUUGGUUAAAUCUACAUCCGUUUUGUACAGUUAACAUACAAUUUAUAUUUUCUUUAUGAGCGAACUAAAAAUUUUAAUUUAUUUGACAGAUUUUAAUAUUUAUAUAGUUUUUUUUUUUUUCAAAUAUUGCGAAUUUUAUUUUACCGUUGCCUCGUGUUAAGUGAUGGCAGUUUGUUUCGUUGUUUCUAGUUAAUUAUUUUAGAUUAAUCGUAAACUGCCAAUAGAAACGUUUUUUCAAGUUACCGAUAUAUCAUAUACAAAGACGUAGAUUGUUUAUUUUUUAUUUAUUAUAUUUUAUUUUCUUAUACAAAGUAUUUAAAACAAUCCUUUUUCGUGAUAACCCUUGCUUGUAACACAACUAAUCUAUUAAUAAUUUUAAUGUAAAUCCGAAUGUUUGUUUUGGACUUUUUAAAGUUUUUUUAGAUUUCACAACAUCGGAAUCAUCACCUUGCAUGAUAUCAUCCUUUUAGAUUUUCUUUUAAAUUUAAUGUGAAUAACAAUUCGAGUUUUUCUUAUUAACUAUCAAAAUCUCUGAAUGAAGAAUUAUUUUUAAAUAAAGAGAAUUCAGCGAUUACAAGCAAAAGGGACCAAGUAAAAAUUGAUUAAAGAACCACACGAAUAUAAUAUUUUAACUUUUAAAUAACAACACUGACAUCUUUAAUAUUACUAUAUAAAAUAAUACGAACAAUUCUAGAACAAUCUAGGCAGUUUUAUACGCGAUAAUUAUUAAUUUAACGUUUAAUCAAACUGCAAUUUAUGAAAUGUUAUUUUAUAUUAUUACUCGUAAUUUAUUUAGUAAUUUUAUAUUUAUCGACAUACCAUAGGCUUAAGUAUUAUUAUUAUCUUUGAAAGAUUUAUUAGUUAGUUUAGAAAAGAGUGAGCUUUAUCAAAAUACAGCCUUUUUAUACUUAAGUAUAUCGAUGCGAGGAUUGCUGCUAAGUCAGAAAAAAUGAAAUUAAAACCAGCCAUUACCUGUACCUUGUUGGGAUUUAGAAUGCCCGAAAAUUUUUCAGUAAUUAUUCUUUCAUAAUUUUAUUUCCAAAGCAUUAAAUUAACUAUAAGUUAUAGGUUUAGACGUUAUAGUAGACAUUAGUGAAACUGCCAAAUUAAAAAAAAUAGACGCGUCAAAAAAGCUGACUUAGAAAAAAAUGAAAGAAAAUAUUUGGCAGUAAUAUAUUCGAAUAAAUAUAGAUAAGAUAUUAAAAUUUAAGAGAUUAGUAUAUGCCAUUCUUAUAAAUUUAAUGAGAUUACAUUUCUUUCCAGCAUUUAUGGAAUAAGGUUGGUCACCCAGAGAAAACUAUAUUUUAUCAUCUAAAAAUCAACUGCAUAUGUCUAAUGUGUUAAAAGAAAAAUGUAUUCGUGGGUGUACCAUUGCAGUUUGUUCUCGAAUGUUCUCGAAUGUUGUGGAAUGUUCGAGAGAUGUGUAGAAUGUUGAGUAGAGGCUGUAAUGUGGUGUGCCGCUAGGUGUGGUGCGACGCGGGCGGCUCGCGCAAGUGCGGGAGCACCCGUACCAGCGCACCGCACUUCCCGCGCCCUAAUUCCCGCCAAAACGCUCUCCAUCCGCCAUUUUAUUGACAAGGUGAGUGCUAACGGAGCAGUGGCACUAACAGGAGGCGCGGCCGCGGACUCCGCCCUGGCACCGCCAUGCCACCACAAUGCCACCACAAUGCCACUCGCCACCGCCGCGUAACACUACCAUCGGAACAUCGAUCACCGUAGCUAUAUCGUUGGGCCUUUCACGUUAACAUAUACUAUGUAUUUUAAUAGUCUAACUAUUAACAUUUAUAUGCCUGUUAUGUUUAUAACAUAAUGAACUAUUAACAUAUUUGUGGCGAAAUGGCACACGCCAUCGACUUAUAUACUUUUAUUGUAUCACUUGAACGUUUUUGGUUGUUACAAUUUUAGGUUACCCGUGUCCUUUGACGGCGCUAAAUUUAGUUAAGUAUUUAUCAUAAGUUUAUAAGAGAUCUUUAUUAUUAAUACAUAUUUUUUUAUAAAAUUUCGAAUAAUUGUUUUGAUAAUAUAAUUUAGCGUCGUCUUUUAAGUUUAUUUAAAUGUGUUGCCAUUACUAGAUUUUGGCGAACGCUCUAAUAAUGUUACUGUGUAGAUGAAAUAUAGAUGUUUGAUUUUUAAGCACAAGGAAAACUAACAUCUAUAUUUUCAUGAAUUAAAAAAUAAAAUCAUUUUACAAUUUUAGCGAGAGGUUAAAAAAUUAUUUUAGGUUUCAAUUAUGAUAUUAUGUCGUAGCUUUUUCUCUUAAAAUGUCUUAUUCUUUUUAUCUCUGCAUAUAUUUAACAAAGUAAAUUUUAGUUAAAGUUUAUAUAAAUAAAAACAAGUACAAAUUGACUAUAUGAUAUCACAUUUUUAUGGUAAAUGUUGCCAUUAAAUCUAACAAAUAAUUGAAAUUAUAAGAAGAUAAAUGGCAACACUGAUUUCAACAGCCAAUAGCGAAGAAUCAAAAUGUAAGUAUGAAUGAAAAAUAUGCUUUGCUUUUCUAUUCAAACAAAUUAGUUUAAGAUACACUCAUCGACUUAUCAACUUUCAAUCAUAUAUUUCGGCAAUAUUUUUUCUAACCUCAAAGCCAAAGAGUAAUUUAGGUUUUUUUUGAAAAAUUAUAUCCAAAAUUAUCAAAAUAUGUCUUCCUUUUGACGAAACAAUUAAGUUGGUAAGAUGAUGAAUUCUUUUACAAGUGCAUUAUAAUGAUUGCAUUAUAUUUUAUUUUCUAGUGCUUAAUAUUUAUAAAUAACAAUGAUAUUUCGUGCAUACUAAGUGCCUUAUGUACAAUGUUUUCACCUAAGCGGUUCUAUAUACAAAUUGUUAUAUGCUAUUUAAGUAAUUUUAGAAGAGAUUAAAUUAUUGUUAACUUUUCUAAAUGUUAAUGUUUAUAAUAUAAAUCAUUUUGAAUUAAGUUGAAAUAACAUCAGAUAUUUAAUCUCGAUAUUUUUAUAGUUUUUAUUUAGAUAUGUAUUAACUAGGAUUGUAGCAAUCUCUCUAGGGAAUCUCUGAUAGCGUAUUUUGCAAUAAACAGCAAAAUAACCUAUAAAGUCUAAUACGAAUACUAUGCGUGCAAAAUAACAUACGACUUCCCAAAAAUUAGACGUCACGUCUACCAGUUUGCACAGGCAACCACGCCAUAUACGCCAUUCUCAGUAUAUAUUUAAAAGAUAAACUUUCCAACAUGGCUGAUGUACAAGUCCCAUGUUAAUCUGCAC